rnacentral:rRNA from 2 species
UACGUAGGGGGCGAGCGUUGUCCGAAGUUACUGGGCGUAAAGCGCGCGUAGGCGGUUUCUUAAGUCUGAGGUGAAAGGUUCAACGCUCAACGUGAACAGUGCCUUGGAUACUGGGAGACUUGAGUAUGGGAGAGGGCAGUGGAAUGGCUGGUGUAGCGGUGAAAUGCGUAGAUAUCAGUCGGAACACCCAUGGCGAAGGCAGCUGCCUGGCCUAAUACUGACGCUGAGGUGCGAAAGCGUGGGGAGCGAACGGG